GGGUCUUACAGGUUCUAUGGCUGGGUGGAGGGUCCUACAGGUCCUAUGGCUGGGUGGAGGGUCCUACAGGUCCUAUGGCUGGGUGGAGGGUCCUACAGGUCCUAUGGCUGGGUGGAGGGUCUUACAGGUCCUAUGGCUGGGUGGAGGGUCCUACAGGUUCUAUGGCUGGGUGGAGGGUCCUACAGGUCCUAUGGCUGGGUGAAGGGUCUUACAGGCCCUAUGGCUGGGUGGAGGGUCUUACAGGUCCUAUGGCUGGGUGGAGGUUCUUACAGGCCCUAUGGCUGGGUGGAGGGUUUUACAGGUCCUAUGGCUGGGUGGAGGGUUUUACAGGUCCUAUGGCUGGGUGGAGGUUCUUACAGGCCCUAUGGCUGGGUGGAGGUUCUUACAGGCCCUAUGGCUGGGUGGAGGGUCCUAUAGGCCCCAUGUGAGGGCCAUGCUUUUCCAUUCCUCUUCAAAACUCUGGCACCACAAAUUGGACAUUGGACUGGUAGUGUUCUGGAGCGGAGCUGGGAAGUGAGUCUGGAGAGAGAGUAAAAAAGUGAGAUGGAGAAGUUGAGGGAGAUCAAUAUCUAGAAAUAAAGAGAGGGAGAGAAAAUGAAUGAACAAACGAACUAGGGAGAGAACAACUAAAUGAGAGAAGAGAAAAGGAGUACCUCUCCAAGGUUCUGGAAAAUGUGAGUGCGGCG
rnacentral:lncRNA from 1 species